GGACUACUAGGGUAUCUAAUCCUGUUUGCUCCCCACGCUUUCGCGCCUCAGCGUCAGUUACAGCCCAGAAAGUCGCCUUCGCCACUGGUGUUCCUCCACAUCUCUACGCAUUUCACCGCUACACGUGGAAUUCCACUUUCCUCUUCUGUACUCAAGCUAUGCAGUUUUGGAUGCGACCCAAGGUUGAGCCCUAGGUUUAAACACCCAACUUACAUUGCCGCCUGCGCGCGCUUUACGCCCAAUAAUUCCGGACAACGCUCGCCCCCUACGUAUUACCGCGGCUGCUGGCAC
rnacentral:rRNA from 1 species